GACGAACGCUGGCGGCGUGCUUAACACAUGCAAGUCGAACGGUGAAGCGCCUUCCUUUUUGGUGGGUGUGGAUGAGUGGCGAACGGGUGAGUAACACGUGAGUAACCUGCCCCCUUCUUCUGGAUAACCGCAUGAAAGUGUGGCUAAUACGGGAUAUUCUGGGUCUGUCGCAUGAUGGGUCUGGGAAAGAUAUUGUUUCGGUGGGGGAUGGGCUCGCGGCCUAUCAGCUUGUUGGUGGAGUGAUGGCCUACCAAGGCGGUGACGGGUAGCCGGCCUGAGAGGGUGGACGGUCACACUGGGACUGAGACACGGCCCAGACUCCUACGGGAGGCAGCAGUGGGGAAUAUUGCACAAUGGGCGCAAGCCUGAUGCAGCGACGCCGCGGGAGGGAUGGAGGCCUUCGGGUUGUGAACCUCUUUCGCCAGUGAAGCAGGCCUGCCUCGUUUGUGGGUGGGUUGACGGUAGCUGGAUAAGAAGCGCCGGCUAACUACGUG
rnacentral:rRNA from 1 species